GCCUUCUUAGCUCAGUUGGUAGAGCAGCUCAUUCGUAAUGAGCAGGUCGCGGGUUCGAAUCCCGUGGAAGGCUCUA
rnacentral:tRNA from 2 species